AGCAGCCGCGGUAAUUCCAGCUCCAAUAGCGUAUAUUAAAGUUGUUGCAGUUAAAAAGCUCGUAGUUGAAUUUCGGGGUUCUACCGUUGGUCGGGCUUUGUCUGUACUGGCGUGUAGAAUUUCUACCUUCUGGGGAACUAUCAUGUUAUUAAUUUAACGUGGUGGGAAACCAGGACCUUUACCUUGAAAAAAUUAGAGUUUCAAAGCAGGCUUAUGUCUGAAUACAUUAGCAUGGAAUAAUAAAAUAGGACGGUGGUCCUGUUUUGUUGGUUUCUGAAUCACCGUAAUGACUAAUAGGGAUAGUUGGGGGCAUUAGUAUUCAAUUGUCAGAGGUGAAAUUCUUGGAUUUAU
rnacentral:rRNA from 1 species